rnacentral:rRNA from 1 species
GAGUGCGCGGCUACACAUGCAAGUCGAACGGUAACAGGAAGCAGCUUGCUGCUUCGCUGACGAGUGGCGGACGGGUGAGUAAUGUCUGGGAAACUGCCUGAUGGAGGGGGAUAACUACUGGAAACGGUAGCUAAUACCGCAUAACGUCGCAAGACCAAAGAGGGGGACCUUCGGGCCUCUUGCCAUCGGAUGUGCCCAGAUGGGAUUAGCUAGUAGGUGGGGUAACGGCUCACCUAGGCGACGAUCCCUAGCUGGUCUGAGAGGAUGACCAGCCACACUGGAACUGAGACACGGUCCAGACUCCUACGGGAGGCAGCAGUGGGGAAUAUUGCACAAUGGGCGCAAGCCUGAUGCACCCAUGCCGCGUGUAUGAAGAAGGCCUUCGGGUUGUAAAGUACUUUCAGCGGGGAGGAAGGCGAUGAGGUUAAUAACCUUGUCUAUUGACUUUCCCCGCAAAAAAAGCACCGGCUAACUCCGUGCCAGCAGCCGCGGUAAUACGGAGGGUGCAAGCGUUAAUCGAAAUUACUGGGCGUAAAGCGCACGCGGGCGGUCUGUCAAGUCGGAUGUGAAAUCCCCGGGCUCAACCUGGGAACUGCAUUCGAAACUGGCAGGCUAGAGUCUUGUAGAGGGGGGUAGAAUUCCGGGUGUAGCGGAGAAAUGCGUAGAGAUCUGGAGGAAUACCGGUGGAGAAGGCGGCCCCCUGGACAAAGACUGACGCUCAGGUGCGAAAGCGUGGGGAGCAAACGGGAUUAUAUACCCUGGUAGUCCACGCCAUAAACGAUGUCGACUUGGAGGUUGUGCCCUUGAGGCGUGGUCUUCCAGAGCUAACGCGUGAAGUCGACCGACGUGGGGGUAGUACGGUCGACGAGGAUAACAUCUCAGAUGCAAUUCGACGGGGGACCGCCACAGCGGCUGUAGCAUGCUGUAUUAUUCGAAUGACAGCGUCGAAGCAACUCUUUU